rnacentral:snRNA from 1 species
UCGCCUUCGGGCGACUGGUCAUUUAGAAACGAUACAGAGAAGAUUAGCACGGCCCCUGCACUAAGGAUGACGUGUUCAAUCAAAGUUAAGCUACCAUUUUUU